AUUAGGUAAGUGUCCAUACUCGCACAUUAGCUUUUCACGCUAAAAGAGCACAACGGUGUCCCUAACU
rnacentral:tRNA from 1 species